AGCCUAAGUAACUGGAUUUAACACACGUACAUGCAGGAACACACACACUUCUAAUUCCGAAUCUCCUAACAAUUACAUUUUACAUUUAUUAAGAAGAAAGACUCCAAGGCUCCUUGCAUACAUAGUCCUUUUGGUGUAACAGAUGCUCUGUGUUUCUUUUCCCUGUUUGAAAUAACCCUGUUUUACUUGUCUGAACUUUAUCCAUUCUUGAAGACACAGCUCAUAAGUUUCAUCUCUAUUUAGCUUUCCUUGACUCUUCUAGGCCUUACUGAUCUUUUCUUAGGCUGUAUCAUAUACUACUUGCAAUGUCUUUACAAAUAUCUUUUUUGGAUAUAUUUUAACGUGCAGUUAAUCUUACAAAUGGGUUUUUAAACUUGGGACCAACCACCAUGUCUUAUUUCAUUAAAGUACCCUCUACACCACCUACCACUCGGUUGGUGCUGUAUUAUUACUUAUUUCCUGAUUGAUGCUCAAAUAGUCCCCUCAUCUAUCCCCUGCUCUAAUUUCUAAAUCCCUUAUUUUUUUGCAUUACAAGUAUGGACCAACUGUUGUGACUAACUAAACAUUAUAUUUUAACAGUAGAUAUCACUCAACCCUCUCCUGAAAUUUAAAGUUCACAGGUCAAGUAAGUAUUUUAUACAUCUGAUGCAAGAAAAAUCUAGAGUGACUAUGUUAGAUGACUGUAGAGGGCAGCAAAGCAACAGUGUUAUCCCUAAAGAAAGAUAUGUAUUUUUCUCAGGCAAUUUCAAAUUUGUGGGUUUUUUUUUUUUUAAUUUAAAAGUUUGUUGACAAUAACCUCACCUCCACCCUCCCCCACAAAUUGGAACCUAUGGGUUGUUCUACUCUAAGCAGCUAAGGAUGGAAGAGCAUAGAUAUACUCACCUCUUAGAGAUCAAACACUUUGAGCGUUAGAAUUCUUGAAAUCCAGCUUCAGAAUCAGGAACGCAGCUUUAAAGAUAACACACAGCUGAUAGCUCUGCUGCCCUCUGAUACACUACAGACUUUCUCUUAUGGGAAUGAAAAACCAAACAAAGGAGUGUUGCCUUAAUGCCUAGACCUAAGUCAGGGAGCUACAAGCCAGUUUGCCGAGUGAAUCAGUUCUGUCUCUUUCAUGAUAAAACAUUUUAAUGCCUAGCUAUUGUCACUCACUGUUUGAAAAUAUCAUUUUGGUAUAAAGGUAUGUUAAUAUUUGGGUAAAAUGGUUUUGUUGUCGUUUUCAUAUGUGAUUCUAUAACUAGGUGGCUAGAGCCUCAGGAUUGGAGGGAGUCUUUCUUUCUAAUUUUCCUUGUCUGUUUUA
rnacentral:lncRNA from 12 species